rnacentral:tmRNA from 1 species
GGGGUCGACAUUGGAUUUGACAGCAAUCGAGAUUUCGGUGGGAAGCAUGCAGAGCGUUGUAGUGAAGCUCUUAAAUAUCUUGCUGCGAACCAUAAUUGACAAUACGUCAUACGCACUUGCUGCUUAAUUUACCAGGUAAAUUCGGCUUAAUCCAGUGGAAGUUUAGUACACGGACAAGUUUCUCCUCUACCGACUCUGAUUUUCGGUUAGUAGGCCAAGGGGAAUCAUUUUAGAAAAUCUGGCACUGAGCGAGCUUCGCGCAAGGUGUGAGAUCUCAGAAGCUAAGGUUGGAUCUUGGGUGUUUUUGUCCGAAUUCAAUUCGAAAACCAAUCAAAAAAUAAGCAUGUAGAAGACAUUCGGAACCAUUGUUUGGACGAGGGUUCGAACCCCUCCGACUCCACCA